rnacentral:lncRNA from 1 species
AUAAAUAUCAUGAUUUGCCAUUUUUUCCUUAUAUAUGUGGAACGUAUUUUCAUGUAAAAUUUUAUUUUGAAAAAUUAAAAUUUGCUGAAUCGGAUUAUUAUAAAGAGUUGAUUGAAUUAGCAAGAUUAGGGUUAAGUAAAGAACAGAGUAAACAAAUAUAUGAUCAUAAUACAACUAAAGAAAGUGAACUUAGGGAAACUACUAUUACACUUACAGAGAAAAACCAAGGAAAAUAUGAUUACAUUAGGGAAAGAGUACAUAGUAAUGUACAUAUAAGUAACAACAUGGAAACAGCUGAAUAUAAAAAAAACAGUAAUAUCACUAACAUUAGUUACAAUAAAAACAAAUUGUUUUGUAUUGUUUUGUGUCCUACACGUGAUUUAGCAAUGCAAACGUAUAAUAAUUAUUUAAUUUAUGCAAAAUGCUUUGAAGAAGAAACUUUUUGUAUAGAUAUUGGAUUGUUAAUUGGAGGAGAACAGCCUAAGAGAGAUUAUUAUAAUAACAAAAAAAGAAAAGAAAAAUCACAAGCUUAUAAUAUAUUAAUAUGUACAUGUUUUAAAUUACUGGAAAGUAUAAAAAAAAAUACUAUAGAUUUACGUGAUGUACAUUUAUUAAUACUAGACGAAGCAGAUGAAAUUAUUAAUAUGGACGAAACAUCAGUUUUGCAAAUAAAAGAAAGUUGUAUAAAAUAUAGCUCAAAUAUACAAACUUGUUUUUUUUCUGCCACCUUACAAGAUAAUAAUGUUAAACAUUGUAUUAGUAAAAUAACGAACAAACCGAUAUUUGUUGAUUUAAAAUAUGGUAAGAAUAGUAUCCCUAAUCAUAUAUACGUGUGUAUAUACUAUGUAAAAGGUAGUUAUAUAGGAACUAAUAAACAUAGUAAUAACAAAGGUGACACACAAAACUCAUAUUACAACGAUGUGAUGUAUAACGAAAAGCUAGAAAAACUAGGAUACGAUGACUUAUACGAAUAUACAGACAAAGUUCAUUUACUUCAUCCAAAACCCAAAGAAAUAGAUAAAAUAUCAUUAGAUUUAAAAAUGAA